ensembl:snoRNA
UGGUCAUUACCAAGGCUUUUAGAAUGGAGUUUCUCAUUUGCUGUGGACAUGACUACAGAACAUUUUUCCACCCUAGGUUUUCUUUCUGCUAUUUUGCUAGCACUCAGCUUAUUGGAAACAUUU